UGCCUUUAAGUGUUGCCCUUUCUCUGAACCCGUAGUGAUGGGGGUGUCAAAUAAGGCAGAAAGUGACUCUUGCUUGGUUGUUUAUGAACGAGAUUUCCAUUGACUCGUUUACACAAACCGCUGCAAGGACACAG
rnacentral:snoRNA from 1 species